CCCUUAGAUGUUCUGGGCUGCACGCGCGCUACACUGAAGCUAUCAACACGUUUUCCCUCCCUGAGAAGGGCGGGUAACCUUUUGAAUCAGCUUCGUGGUAGGGAUCGGGGCUUGCAAUUGUUCCCCGUGAACCAGGAAUUCCUAGUAGACGCGAGUCAUAAGCUCGCAUCGAUUAAGUCCCUGCCCUUUGUACACACCGCCCGUCGCUACUACCGAUUGAACGUUUUAGUGAGGCAUUUGGACCGACGCAUCUCAGUUUAACCGCUGGUUUGUGUUGGAAAGACUUCCAAACUUGAGCGUUUAGAGGAAGUAAAAGCCGUAACA
rnacentral:rRNA from 1 species